ACUUUUUUUUUUAUUUCAGUGAUCUCUGGUCUCCUGCUGUUGUUCGCCUUCAACAUAACAGGAACCCUGACUGGUUAGACGUAACCCAGGGAGGUGGAGAUCGGCCGGGUACUCAUACAAAUCAUGAUUCCACAAGACUGUCAAACAUAGCUGUGAUAUUGCGCGAUGUGUCUGUAUUGUUGCUGUUGUUGUUAUUGUUAUUUACUACCAUUAUUAAAAACACUGUCCAAAACA